GGGGAGGCGGGACUUCCUGCCUCGCGCCUCGCCGGGGCUCGGGACGCGCGCGGUCCGCUCGGGAGUGGCGGACGGCGGGCUGAGGGGGCGGCGUGUCGGCCGAGGAGGGCGGGCCGCGGAGGAGGAGCCGGCCUUGCAGCCGCCGCCCUCUCAGCCCUCCGAGUUUCCCGGGCUACCUCAACCUUUCCCGAGGCGUGGGUGCCCUCGCGGACCGUCCGGCUCCUCGGUUCGCCUCCAGCCCCGCGGCGGCAGCGGCCGCUUGGACCGCUCCGGGCCCCACACCCCAGCCGGUGGGACCGUCCCGAGCCCUCGGCCCCAAUGCCUGGGAGAGCAGAGCGGAGUGGGUGGCGGUGGUUGGAGCUGUGCCGGGGGCUCCCGGUGGCGAGCGCGGCUGCUGUGCUGGGGCGAGCAGCGGGGACCGUGUGUGAGUUUGGCAUGAUUUGGUCCCCUGGGAUUCUGCCUUAGCAAGAAAGAAGUUGGAAAUACUUCCUGGAAGAAAACUAAAACAAUACAAAAGCCACAGCUUAUUGAUUGCAUGUCAGCCCCCUUACAAAUAUGGACACAUUUCCUAGCCUAUUUCCACCUGGAGGAGAUAGUAGGCUGAAUCCUGAGCCUGAGUUCCAAAAUAUGUUAAUUGAUGAAAGGGUACGCUGUGAACAUCAUAAACAUAAUUAUCAGGCUCUGAAAAUUGAACACAAAAGGUUGCAGGAAGAAUAUGUAAAAUCACAAAAUGAACUUAAACGUGUAUUAAUUGAAAAGCAAGCAAGCCAGGAAAAAUUCCAACUGCUCCUUGAAGACUUAAGGGGAGAAUUAGUAGAGAAAGCUAGAGACAUAGAAAAAAUGAAACUGCAGGUACUAACACCACAAAAAUUGGAAUUGGUAAAAGCCCAACUACAACAAGAAUUAGAAGCUCCAAUGCGAGAACGUUUUCGGACUCUUGAUGAAGAAGUGGAAAGGUACAGAGCUGAGUAUAACAAGCUGCGCUACGAGUAUACAUUUCUCAAGUCAGAGUUUGAACACCAGAAAGAAGAGUUUACUCGGGUUUCAGAAGAAGAGAAAAUGAAAUACAAGUCAGAGGUUGCACGACUGGAGAAGGACAAAGAGGAGCUACAUAACCAGCUGCUUAGUGUUGAUCCCACGAGAGACAGCAAACGAAUGGAGCAACUUGUUCGAGAAAAAACCCAUUUGCUUCAGAAAUUGAAAAGUUUAGAGGCUGAAGUAGCAGAAUUAAGGGCUGAGAAAGAAAAUUCUGGUGCUCAGGUAGAAAAUGUCCAAAGAAUACAGGUGAGGCAGUUGGCUGAGAUGCAGGCUACACUCAGAUCCUUGGAGGCUGAAAAGCAGUCAGCUAAACUACAAGCUGAGCGUUUAGAAAAAGAACUACAAUCAAGCAAUGAACAGAAUACCUGCUUAAUCAGCAAACUGCAUAGAGCUGACCGAGAAAUCAGCACACUGGCCAGUGAAGUGAAAGAGCUUAAACAUGCAAACAAACUAGAAAUAACUGACAUCAAACUGGAGGCAGCAAGAGCUAAGAGUGAGCUCGAAAGAGAAAGGAAUAAGAUCCAAAGUGAACUUGAUGGAUUGCAGUCAGACAAUGAAAUUCUCAAGUCAACUGUUGAACACCACAAAGCGCUCUUAGUGGAAAAAGAUCGUGAAUUAAUACGUAAAGUACAAGCUGCCAAGGAAGAAGGUUACCAGAAACUCAUGGUCUUACAAGAUGAAAAGCUAGAACUUGAGAACAGAUUAUCAGACUUAGAGAAGAUGAAGGUGGAGCGUGAUGUCUGGAGGCAGUCGGAAAAGGAGCAGUGUGAGGAGAAGCUGCGGGCCUCCCAGAUGGCAGAGGAGGCAGCCCGCAGGGAGCUGCAGAGCACUAGGUUAAAACUUCAACAACAAAUUGUGAAUACCGAAAAAGCAGAAAAAGAAAAACUUGAAAAUUCUGAACUGAAACAGAUUAUGAGUAGUGAGGAUUCCACUUAGAAUUUUCCCCAUCUGCUGACACUGCCUUGCACAUGCACUUUGAGGACCUGAAUUGAGAGAGAAUAAUGCUUGCAUGUCAGCUGAAACUGCUUUGUGUGUGCACUUAUGGAGCCUCAAGUGGCAGGGCACAGUACUCAGACACUGUGGUUUCGGCUGUCCUAUGGAUCUAGAGUUAAGUUUCUGAAGGUUGCUUAGUUACAAAGCCGUAGUAAAGAGUUAAUACUUUCCACUCCUUUGUUGUUUUUUUUUUAAAGUAAGUUCUAUAUGAAGAAAUUUAUUAUAAAAUAGAAAUCGGAGACAUACAAUGUUACUGCAUUCUAGUAAUUGCACCAUGGACAUGUAUAGUCUGAUCUUACAUGGCUUUUAUACUGUUAGCCUGUUAUACUGUUAGGGGUUGUUUCCCACUUAGCUAAUUUAUUCUACCAAGAAUCUUGCUAGAAUCUUGCUUGUGUUAGCUGUGCUGGUACUUGCCUGUAAUCCUAGCACUUGGGAGGCUGAAGCAGGAAGAUCAUGAGUUUGUGGACUGCCUGGGCUGUGUAGCAGAGCCUUUUUCUUUUGACUCUUAAAUCUUACCAUGAUGUUUUGGUUUUGGUGAUGGCAGAGACCAAAUUCAGGCCUGUGUGCAUGAUAAUUAGACAGCUAUGCUGAGCUGCAUCGUAGGCUUACAGUGGGUUCUUUACAUUGAUGUCUCCUGAUUCUUUCAACUCUGAAAGGCCUCUUAGAGAAACUGAAGUGAAAGUGAAGACUUUUGUUUAUUAGCUUAGACAUGGCGUAUGAAGGAUGUAGAUCCAUAGUUGUCCCCAGUGAGCUCUAUUCAGUCACAAGUUUAAAAAGUGUAAGUCUUUCUAGCCAGUUGGUCCAUAACUCCAAUUAUCAUAAGAAAAGGUGCUUCCAUAUAAAGGUAAAUUUCGGGUGAAUCAAGCCUGUGACUUUGAUACCUGUGCUGAUAAAUGGCUCUAGAUCGUUGGUUCUCAACCUUCCCAAUGCUGCCACCCUUUAAUACAGUUCCUCAUGUGGUGACCCCAGCCAUAAAAUUGUGCUAUUACUUCAUAACUGUGAUUUGCUACUGUUAUGAAUUGUAAUAUAAAUAUCUGAUAUGCAGGAUAUCUGAUAUGUAACCCUUGUGAAGGGCUCAUUUGACCCCCAAAGGGGUUGUGCCCACAGGUUGAGAACCACUGCUCUAGAGGCUAUGGAAUCCAUAGUAUAUUUAUUAGAUUUCUCAAAGCACCUUUCUCCUUCUCAGUACUGGGGCAUACAGAAAGCUGGGAAACCUUUGAAGAACAGGAUUAUAGUGACUCUUCUCAUAUUCAUGCCCGACAAUUUCUGAAUUCUCUGAGAGUAGCCUUUCUGGUAGAGUAGCUAAUCUAAUGUGUGCUUCGGGAAAACAAUGCUCUCUCAACUGUUUUUUCUGCUGGCUUGCUUUUAAAAUCUCUUCUGGUAGAGAAGGGAAAGGCUUUGUAAUAGGAGACUAUCUGCCAAUGUUUUCUUCUUCCCAAAGCACCUACUCCCCAAACCUCUUUGCAGUGCUCAUUUGGGGAUGAAAAGAAAGAAAUCAGUAUCUAAGUUCUAUAUGGUAUGAAAUACUGUGGUUAUAGUGAGAAAUGCCCCCAGUCCUUGCUAUUCAUUACUCACUUACAGGGCACCCUGCAUGCCUCACUGGGAGAGACAGUUUCAUGAGGAGAUACUCUGCUCCUCACAUGGCUUGAUGGAUAUCUUAGUGUCUUUCUGUUUUUCCUUUUUCUUUUAAGCAAAUCAGUCAUUUGCAGAUCCAAGUGACCUCACUGACACAGUCGGAGAACGACUUACUGAAUUCAAACCACAUGCUGAAGGACAUGGUGGAGAGACUAAAACAAGAAUGCCGAAAUUUAAGGAGCCAAGCUGAGAAAGCACAACUAGACGUUGAAAAGACACUGGAGGAAAAACAGAUCCAGUGGUUGGAAGAAAAGCACAAGCUCCAUGAGCGAAUCACAGACAGAGAAGAAAAGUAUAACCAAGCCAAGGAAAAGCUACAGCGCGCAGCGACUGCUCAGAAAAAGAGAAAAUCUCUUCAUGAGAACAAAUUGAAGAGACUACAGGAGAAAGUAGAAGUCUUGGAGGCAAAGAAAGAAGAACUAGAAACAGAAAACCAGGUGCUAAAUAGACAAAAUGUUCCAUUUGAAGAAUAUACAAGGCUUCAAAAACGACUAAAGGACAUACAGAGAAGACAUAAUGAAUUUCGAAGUCUAAUUUUGGUUCCUAACAUGCCUCCAACAGCAUCGAUUAGUCCUGCUAACUUCCAGUCCGCAGUGACAGUUCCUGGAGCGGAACUCUCUUUUCCCCCUCAUCUGCAGGAGGAACAACAUCAAAGAGAGCUCUCUCUCCUUCGCAAAAGACUGGAAGAACUGGAGACUACACAAAGAAAACAACUGGAGGAGCUUGGGUCUCCUGGGGAGUGAAGCCUGAAGACAGGCAAAGCCAGAGACUCAAUAAAAGUCUGACGGGUAACGUGUGGCACUGAGACGCCUUCUUCCUGUUUGCCAAAAUCCAUGAGCUGCCUCAAGAAAAGGUACUAGCAGCGCACUGCAUGGGCUCCAAGAUUUUAGGAUUAUACUAAGAAAAUGAAAGUAUUCAUAUAUUUAGAACAUGCAUUGACAAUCUUUUGACAAUGCAAAAAUAAAAGGAACUAGUUAGUUAAAAAAAUCAAGUUUUCAAAUUAAUUUCUGUUUUGUUGAUAUUUUCUGGCAUUUUGCUUGAAAUAUAUCCACCCUGAAGUCCCUUUUCCUCAUCUUUGAGAUGCCUCCUUGGUAAUGACAAAACCAAUAAACAUCUCCUUUAUUAUAUAUAAAAGUUUUGGAAAAGAUAAUCAUUUAUAAGUAUAAAAACCACUUAAAAGUUUCUAAACAUGUUUAUUAUAGAAAUCUUUACCUUUUCUAAAAGCUGUGCACUUAAUUUAUUGAAUAACUUAAUAAAUAUUUUUGUAUCUCUGC